GAUGAACGCUGGCGGCGUGCCUAAUACAUGCAAGUCGAGCGAACGGACGAGAGGCUUGCUUCUCUGAUGUUAGCGGCGGACGGGUGAGUAACACGUGGAUAACCUACCUAUAAGACUGGGAUAACUUCGGGAAACCGGAGCUAAUACCGGAUGAUAUUUUGAACCGCAUAGUUCAAAAGUGAAAGACGGUCUUGCUGUCACUUAUAGAUGGAUCCGCGCUGCAUUAGCUAGUUGGUAAGGUAACGGCUUACCAAGGCAACGAUGCAUAGCCGACCUGAGAGGGUGAUCGGCCACACUGGAACUGAGACACGGUCCAGACUCCUACGGGAGGCAGCAGUAGGGAAUCUUCCGCAAUGGGCGAAAGCCUGACGGAGCAACGCCGCGUGAGUGAUGAAGGUCUUCGGAUCGUAAAACUCUGUUAUUAGGGAAGAACAUAUGUGUAAGUAACUGUGCACAUCUUGACGGUACCUAAUCAGAAAGCCACGGCUAACUACGUG
rnacentral:rRNA from 1 species